rnacentral:lncRNA from 9 species
CUAAAGUUGGAGUAAGUAUUGGUUUCAUUCUCUUGUAAUCACUCACAAAAUGGGAAUGAUGAUCAAAAGGCUCUUUUCUCAGAGUAAAAAUAUCUGUAUCACAAAGAAGCUUAUUUGUGGCCCCAGAGAAGUACUAAUACAGUUUUAAAACAUGCCUAACAGGUGUUCCUGCUGUGGCACAGCAGAAAUGAAUCCAACUAGGAACCAUGAAGUUGCGGGUUGGAUCCCUGGCCUUGCUCAGUGGGUCAAGGAUCCAGCAUUACCGUGAGCUGUGGUGUAGGCCACAGAUGCUGCUAGGAUCUGGUGUGGCUGUGGCUGUGGCAUAGGCCAGUGGCAACAGCUCCAAUUAGACCCCUGUGCUGCGGGUGCAGCCCUAAAAAGACAAAAAAAAAAAAAAAAAAAAAAAGAUAAAAUGUGCCUAACAAUGGAUACAUUUUUAAAUGUUUUCUUUUUGGCUCAUCACAAUAGUUUGUCUUGAAGCCAUUUGGUUUAUUGAGAAUUUAUUUUUUUACAGGAUUUAAAAUCAUUAUUGAUACUACAUGAACUUGUUCUUGGGGAAGUCAGAUGUCACAGAAGAGGUCCUGCUAUACCGAGACAACACAUUGGGGAGGGAUCCAGAGAGAGAGCCUCAGCUCAGUGCCCAGCCAACAUCCAGCCUCCAGUGCAACCACAGGUAGAUUUCCUGAAGGAAAAACUGGGGAGCGAACACGUGCUAUUAGCACAGCACUUGACCUAGGAAGGAGCCAUGCAUUUUCAGCCACGACUUGGAGCCACGAGAGUGGAUGAAAUAGUAAGACAGCAGUGGAAGAGGAAAAUACUGCCCGGAACCAAGCUCUGAGGAAGACAGACAAUCAAGGUAGAGGAACAAGAGGAGAAAUCUGAGAAAUGUCCCAGAGAACAGGAGCAAAAGCAGGUGAGUGUCAUCAAUAAAGUGUUCUGGGCUCAUUCCCCUAUUUUUCUAUAAGUUUUAUUGAAGUACAGUUAACUUGCAGGGCUAGGAUGUGAUCAUUUAUGCUGUAUAACAAAGUGACCCAGUGAUAUAUAUACACAUAUCCAUUCUCUCAGAUUCUUUUCCCAUGUAGAUUGUCACAGAAUACUGGGUAGAGUUCCCUGUGCAAUAUAUAGCAGGCCCCCUUUGGCGCAUCAUUCCAUAGACCUCAGUGUGCAUAUGCUAGUCACAAACCCCAGGUCAUCACUCCCACCCCCCUACUUGUCUCCUUUGGUAACCAUAAGGUUUUCAAAGUCUAUGAGUCUAUUUCUGUACUGCAGAUAAGUUCAUUUUUUUUUUUUUUUUUGGUUUCAACAUAUAUGUGACAUCAUUGAUGUUUGUCUUUCACUGUCUAACUUCACUUAGUAUGAUAGUUUCUAGGUCCAUCCAUGUUGCUGUAAAUGGCAUUAUUUCAUUAUUUUUUAUGACUGUGUAAUAUUCCAUUGUAUAUGUAUGUGUACCACAUCUUCUUUAUCCAUUCCUCUUUUGAUGGCCAUUUAGGUUGCUUCCAUGUCAUGGCUAUUGUUGGCAGUGCUGAAGCGAAUAUUGGGGUGCAUGUAUCUUUUCAAAUUACAACUUUCUUCAGAUAGAUGCACAGGAGUGGGAUUGCUGGAUCGUACAGUAGUUCUAUUUUAGUUUUUUGAGGAC